rnacentral:rRNA from 1 species
AUUGAACGCUGGCGGCAGGCCUAACACAUGCAAGUCGAACGGUAACAGGAAGCAGCUUGCUGCUUCGCUGACGAGUGGCGGACGGGUGAGUAAUGUCUGGGAAACUGCCUGAUGGAGGGGGAUAACUACUGGAAACGGUAGCUAAUACCGCACAACGUCGCAAGACCAAAGAGGGGGACCUUAGGGCCUCUUGCCAUCGGAUGUGCCCAGAUGGGAUUAGCUAGUAGGUGGGGUAACGGCUCACCUAGGCGACGAUCCCUAGCUGGUCUGAGAGGAUGACCAGCCACACUGGAACUGAGACACGGUCCAGACUCCUACGGGAGGCAGCAGUGGGGAAUAUUGCACAAUGGGCGCAAGCCUGAUGCAGCCAUGCCGCGUGUAUGAAGAAGGCCUUCGGGUUGUAAAGUACUUUCAGCGGGGAGGAAGGGAGUAAAGUUAAUACCUUUGCUCAUUGACGUUACCCGCAGAAGAAGCACCGGCUAACUCCGUG